rnacentral:rRNA from 1 species
GGGAAGAAGCUAUGACGGUACCUAUCGAAUCAGCGUCGGCUAACUCCGUGCCAGCAGCCGCGGUAAUACGGAGGAGGCGAGCGUUAUCCGGAAUUAUUGGGCGUAAAGCGUCGCUAGGUGGUUAUUCAAGUCUGUAGUUAAAGCGUGCGGCUUAACCGCAUGCCGGCAGUGGAAACUGCGUGACUAGAGUGCGCUAGGGGUAAGGGGAAUUCCCAGUGUAGCGGUGAAAUGCGUAGAUAUUGGGAAGAACACCGGUGGCGAAAGCGCCCUCCUGGACCUGCACUGACACUGAGGGACGAAAGCUAGGGGAGCGAAAGGGAUUAGAUACCCCUGUAGUCCUAGCCGUAAACGAUGGACACUAGGUGUUGUCGGUAUCGACCCGGUCAGUGCCGUAGCUAACGCGUUAAUAUCCCGCCUGGGA